AUGUUGAAACGAAAAGGGAUUGGUGGAUUGAACGAAGAAAUUUCGGACUGGGCUUUCAAGAAAAGAGGAGAAAGACAUUUCAGUGAUUUGGAUCUCAACACAAGUUUGUUCAUACAAAGCCCUAAUCCAAAGCAGUAUAUAAACUAUAAUCUGACACUAAUUCAAAAUAUUAUAUUUUUGACGGAAAAAUAUACAAAUUCGGAAUCAAACAAACAUCAUCUCACUUGA